ACGCCUUGAUCUUGGACUUGUAGCCUCCAGAAUGAGCUGGGGAAAGCUUAGUGACAAGAGAAGAUGAUUUCUCCAAGGCCAGAAAGCUACUUCCUGCGACAAUCCGUUGGGGCCCCAAAGAAAGCUGGGAACACUUUUCCCUCAUUGCUUCUGCCUGAGAUCAGCGUCUGCUCUCCAGUCCCCAGGGUUUCAUCUGCUCUGGAAGGGAGCAAUCUCAGGGAUGGAAGGAGGGAGCAUUCAGACCAGGUGCAUCUUGGGGCUGGAGAAUGUCAAUGGAAGUUUCAUCUUCACAGACGUUGCCUUCUAGAAAACAGAGUUAAGGUCAAUCCCUUUGCCAAUGAGUCAACAAACCGCUUUCUUAACCAGGUCAGUACAAUAGCAUAAAGGGCCUUAAGUCACAUCAAGUCUCCUUAGAGAGAAUUUCUGAACUUGUAGAACAUGAGUCUAUAAAUUGGCUUGGACACAGAUUUCACUGAAGGGAGAAAAAGUACAAAAGACUACAAUAGACCCAAGGAUUAUUGUCGUGGCAUUCUCUAGAACAGCUGUCUGGCAAAUGUUACACCACGUCUGAGAUUAUUUUAGAAACUUUGUCUUGGAGAAGAAUACGUAGGGAGAAUACCAGACAGAUUUGCCCCCCCCCUUUUUUUUUUAAAUCACAGAAUAAGAAUUUCAAGGACAUUUGCACCUUCAAUGAGAUCAUCCCGGUCAUGGUAUUAUUUUUUGAAACUUAAAUCAUGUCCCACCUAGUAAAUUUAUAGCCAAGUGUAGUUACAGCAGUGAGGUGAUCCCGAUAGUUAUUUAGGUCUUCCUCUUCCUUUUCCUUAUUAUCAUGAUAAAUAGAAUAUUCUAAACAUGUUUUAUUUCAACCAGUAUCAACUGAAGCCCAUCUUAAAUGAAAUAUGUAUUUAGUGGUGAACUGAUCAAUGCUAUCUACUUUCUUCAGGGCCACCUGACUGGCUCAGUAGGUAGAGUUUGGGACUCUUGACCUUGGGAUUGUAAA